rnacentral:misc_RNA from 1 species
AACGCAACUGGCGCCGGUUUACCGGCAUGCCUGUUUCAGUGUGCUAGGAGAGUAAACUAUCAUUAUAAAAUAUAAUGCGAUUGAGGUACAUUUAUGUUCUUCUUUCGUUAAAUAUGAAGGUGUGAAAGAUGAGUAAUCUCUCACACUGGCAAACGAAGUAGUCAUGCUUGUUCGUGAUCUCGUUUAACCAGUGAUAAAGGUUUUUACUUACCUAUAAAUCACAUCUAAUCAAUAAAAUAACUCCAAAUUUGGCAUCUAAAAGAAGAAAAGGAUACCCGCCGAACUUAA